rnacentral:tRNA from 1 species
UCCCCUGUAGCUCAGCUGGUAGAGCGAUUGGCUGUUAACCAAUUUGUCCGAGGUUCGAGUCCUCGCGGGGGAGCCA